rnacentral:rRNA from 1 species
GAUGAACGCUAGCUACAGGCUUAACACAUGCAAGUCGAGGGGCAGCGGGAUUGAAGCUUGCUUCAAUUGCCGGCGACCGGCGCACGGGUGAGUAACGCGUAUCCAACCUUCCGCUUACUCGGGGAUAGCCUUUCGAAAGAAAGAUUAAUACCCGAUGGUAUCUUAAGCACGCAUGAGAUUAAGAUUAAAGAUUUAUCGGUAAGCGAUGGGGAUGCGUUCCAUUAGGCAGUUGGCGGGGUAACGGCCCACCAAACCUACGAUGGAUAGGGGUUCUGAGAGGAAGGUCCCCCACAUUGGAACUGAGACACGGUCCAAACUCCUACGGGAGGCAGCAGUGAGGAAUAUUGGUCAAUGGGCGAGAGCCUGAACCAGCCAAGUAGCGUGAAGGAUGACGGCCCUACGGGUUGUAAACUUCUUUUGUGCGGGAAUAAAGGAACCUACGUGUAGGUUUUUGCAUGUACCGUAACGAAUAAGCAUCGGCUAACUCCGUGCCAGCAGCCGCGGUAAUACGGAGGAUGCGAGCGUUAUCCGGAUUUAUUGGGUUUAAAGGGAGCGUAGACGGGUUUUUAAGUCAGCUGUGAAAGUUUGGGGCUCAACCUUAAAAUAGCAGUUGAAACUGGAGACCUUGAGUACGGUUGAGGCAGGCGGAAUUCGUGGUGUAGCGGUGAAAUGCUUAGAUAUCACGAAGAACUCCGAUUGCGAAGGCAGCCUGCUAAGCCGCCACUGACGUUGAGGCUCGAAAGUGCGGGUAUCAAACAGG